rnacentral:rRNA from 1 species
CACGUAGGGCGCAAGCGUUGUCCGGAAUUAUUGGGCGUAAAGAGCUCGUAGGCGGUUUGUCGCGUCUGCCGUGAAAGUCCGGGGCUCAACUCCGGAUCUGCGGUGGGUACGGGCAGACUAGAGUGAUGUAGGGGAGACUGGAAUUCCUGGUGUAGCGGUGAAAUGCGCAGAUAUCAGGAGGAACACCGAUGGCGAAGGCAGGUCUCUGGGCAUUAACUGACGCUGAGGAGCGAAAGCAUGGGGAGCGAACAGGAUUAGAACUACCUAGUCAGUCCA